rnacentral:rRNA from 1 species
GACAGAGGUGCCGAGCGUUAGGCGGAAUCACUGGGCUUAAAGCGUGUGUAGGCGGACCGUUAAGUACCUUGUGAAAUCCCCCGGCUCAACCGGGGAACGGCUGGGUAUACUGGCGGUCUUGAGCCAUCCAGGGGCAGUCGGAACAGACGGUGGAGCGGUGAAAUGCGUAGAUAUCGUCUGGAACGCCGAAGGUGAAAACAGACUGCUGGGGAUGCGCUGA